AAGUCGUAACAAGGUUUCCGUAGGUGAACCUGCGGAAGGAUCAUUAACAGUUUAUAUGUUUAUGUUGUUGUUGUUGUUGUGAUGUGUGUAACACCCUGUGUGACAAUUGCCAUUCUUCUUUCGUUUUUUGGCAAUGUCAUAUUUUUUUUAACCAUAUGUUUACCUGUUAUUCUUAUAUACCAUACCAUAUAUUUAUAUAUCGAAAACUGCCAGCAAUGGAUCACUCGGUUCUU
rnacentral:misc_RNA from 1 species